rnacentral:rRNA from 1 species
AUUGAACGCUGGCGGCAUGCCUUACACAUGCAAGUCGAACGGUAACAGGUCUUCGGAUGCUGACGAGUGGCGAACGGGUGAGUAAUACAUCGGAACGUGCCCGAGAGUGGGGGAUAACGGAGCGAAAGCUUUGCUAAUACCGCAUACGAUCUCAGGAUGAAAGCAGGGGACCGCAAGGCCUUGCGCUCACGGAGCGGCCGAUGGCAGAUUAGGUAGUUGGUGGGAUAAAAGCUUUACCAAGCCGACGAUCUGUAGCUGGUCUGAGAGGACGACCCAGCCACACUGGGACUGAGACACGCCCAGACUCCUACGGGAGCAGCAGUGGGGAAUUUUGGACAAUGGGCGCAAGCCUGA